rnacentral:lncRNA from 1 species
CCUGUUUCCUGCCGCUGCACCGCUGCUGCCUUCUUCAUCCACAGGCGUAGGUGCUCGCGUUGACCGCGUCAACCAGCGGCUCGUCCCGCGCCUUUGCUCGCUGCGUUGACCCGAUCUGGCCUCCUCGUUCGAUCCAGCGCCCCUUCCAGCCCUUCUACUCCACCGACCGGCCCAAGGCCCAGGGUGAGCAGCGCCCCUGGCCUUUACCUCUAUUGGGCUAGUCAGAUGCGGCCCGUACCAUGUUUUUUCCCAGUUCUGCAAUUUGCUAUUUAUCCAGAGAACGACUGUUUUACAGAAAAACCCUUGCACUUCAUGCAUUUAAUAACUCCACAACCGUGCAUUGUAUUAAAACAAACUAAAUAUGUAAAAUGCUUAGAAUUUUGUGUAGUUUAAUAAUAUGCCACUUUCACCCAUGUUAAAAUUGUUUAAAAUGUUGUUUGAUUAAAUUGUCUUAAAUAACAUGCUAAAAUGAUUUAAUUCAUAACUAAUUAACCGUAGCUCGGAUUUUAAUAAACUUUAUAUGUAAUUGGGGUAGGAAAAUGCCUAGUUUAACUUGGUGCACUUCAUUUUGCUGUUUAACAAUAUUAAAAUUGCGUUUAUGGCAGAACAGUACCAAUCCCAAUAUAUGGACAUGAGGAUUUUCCGUAAUUGUUGUUGUUUGUUUCCGGCCUCAUUUAACUUGCUUAAAUAGGUAGUUUCCUUAUGCUUCACCUCUUGCCAUGGUUAACAACAUUUAACAUUGUUGGGUACAUAACCAAGAGAGAACUAAAUAGUUGAUGUGGUGUUUCGUCAAUAUGCAACUCGUUGCAUAUUGAACUCCACUUAAUUUGUAGUAUUGUUUGUUGCACUUUGCCAUGCCAUGCCUCAUUAAACCGGACAUGCAUCAUAUUUGUUUUUGCAUCAUGCCAUGUGUAUGUGGUGGUUGUUUACUAUGUUGUUUGUUUCUUUCCGGUUUGCUUCUCUCGUUACCUUCGGCUUCGUUCCGGAGUUGUGAGGAUUCCUUCGUCUACGUCCGUUUGUCUUCUUCAUGGACUCGUUCUUCUUCUUUGCGGGAUUUCAGGCAAGAUGACCACCCCUCGAAAUCACUUCUAUCUUUGCUAUGCUAGUUGAUCGCUCUAUUGCCAUGCUCGCUACCUAUCACUUGCUAUAUCAUGUCUCCCAUUUUAGCCAUGUCAGCCCUAACCAUCCCUUCCUAGCAAACCGUUGUUUGGCUAUGUUACCGCUUUUGCUCAGCCCCUCUUAUAGCGUUGCUAGUUGCAGGUGAAGUUGAAGUUUGUUCCAUGUCGGAACAUGGAUAUGUUGGGAUAUCACAAUAUCUCUUAUUUAAUUAAUGCAUCUAUAUAUCUUGGUAAAGGGUGGAAGGCUCGGCCUUAUGCCUGGUGUUUUGUUCCACUCUUGCCGCCCUAGUUUCCGUCAUACCGGUGUUAUGUUCCUUGAUUUUGCGUUCCUUACGCGGUUGGGUGAUUUAUGGGACCCCCUUGACAGUUAGCUUUGGAUAAAACUCCUCCAGCAAGGCCCAACCUUGGUUUUACCAUUUGCUACCACCUAUCCCCUUUUUCCUUGGGUUCUGCAGACUCAAGGGUCAUCUUAUUUUAACCCCCCGGGCCAGUGCUCCUUCGAGUGUUGGUCCGAACUGAGUAGACUGCGGGGCCCCCUCGUGGAAACUCGAGGUCUGGUUUUACUCGUAGGAUGUCUCAUCCGGUGUUGCCCUGAGAACGAGAUAUGUGCAGCUCCUAUCGGGAUUUGUCGGCACACCGGGCGGCUUUGCUGGUCUUGUUUUACCAUUGUCGGAAUGUCUUGUAAACCGGGAUUCCGAGACUGAUCGGGUCGUUCCGGGAGAAGGUUUAUCCUUCGUUGACCGUGAGAGCUUAUAAUGGGCUAAGUUGGGACACCCCUGCAGGGUAUUAUCUUUAGAAAGCCGUGCCCGCGGUUAUGAGGCAGAUGGGAAUUUGUUAACGUCCGGUUGUAGAGAACUUGACACUUGACCUUAAUUAAAACGCAUCAACCGCGUGUGUAGCCGUGAUGGUCUCUUCUCGGCGGAGUCCGGGAAGCGAACACGGUUUGAGUUAUGAAUGACGUAAGUAGGAGUUCAGGAUCACAUCUUGAUCAUUGCUAGUUCACGACCGUUCCGUUGCUUCUCUUCUCGCUCUCAUUUGCGUAUGUUAGCCACCAUAUAAGCUUAGUGCUUGCUGCAGCUCCACCUCACUACCCCAUCCUUUCCUUUAAGCUUAAAUAGUCUUGAUCUCGCGGGUGUGAGAUUGCUGAGUCCUCGUGACUCACAGAUACUUCCAAAACAGUUGCAGGUGCCGACGAUGCCAGUGCAGGUGACGCAACCGAGCUCAAGUGGGAGCUCGAUGAAGAUCUUGUCCGUUGUGUUGUUUCUUUUCUUAUUGAUCAGUAGUGCAGCCCAGUUGGGACGAUCAGGGAUCUAGCAGUUGGGUUGUCUUCUUUUCUUUUGGGUUCCGUAGUCGGACCUAUGUGUGUAUCUUGAAUGAUGUAUGAUUAUUUAUGUAUUGUGUGAAGUGGCGAUUGUAAGCCAACUCUUUAUCCCAUUCUUGUUCAUUACAUGGGAUUGUG